GACGAAGGGUGCAAGCGUUAAUCGGAAUUACUGGGCGUAAAGCGUGCGUAGGCGGUUUGUUAAGUCUGUUGUGAAAUCCCCGGGCUCAACCUGGGAAUGGCAAUGGAUACUGGCAAGCUAGAGUGUGUCAGAGGAUGGUGGAAUUCCCGGUGUAGCGGUGAAAUGCGUAGAGAUCGGGAGGAACAUCAGUGGCGAAGGCGGCCAUCUGGGACAACACUGACGCUGAGGCACGAAAGCGUGGGGAGCAAACAGG
rnacentral:rRNA from 1 species